AGAUUGAACGCUGGCGGCAUGCCUUACACAUGCAAGUCGAACGGUAACGCGGGGCAACCUGGCGACGAGUGGCGAACGGGUGAGUAAUAUAUCGGAACGUGCCCAGGAGUGGGGGAUAGCCCGGCGAAAGCCGGAUUAAUACCGCAUACGACUUACGGGUGAAAGCGGGGGAUCGCAAGACCUCGCGCUGUUGGAGCGGCCGAUAUCAGAUUAGGUAGUUGGUGGGUAAGGCCUACCAAGCCGACGAUCUGUAGCUGGUCUGAGAGGACGACCAGCCACACUGGGACUGAGACACGGCCCAGACUCCUACGGGAGGCAGCAGUGGGGAAUUUUGGACAAGUGGGCGCAAGCCUGAUCCAGCCAUGCCGCGUGCGGG
rnacentral:rRNA from 1 species